UACGUAGGGGGCAAGCGUUGUCCGGAUUUAUUGGGCGUAAAGAGCGUGUAGGCGGCCAGAUAGGUCCGUUGUGAAAACUCGAGGCUCAACCUCGAGACGCCGAUGGAAACCAUUUGGCUAGAGUCCGGAAGAGGCGAGUGGAAUUCCCGGUGUAGCGGUGAAAUGCGCAGAUAUCGGGAGGAACACCAAUGGCGAAGGCAGCUCGCUGGGACGUGACUGACGCUGAGACGGCGAAAGCGUGGGGAGCAAACAGG
rnacentral:rRNA from 1 species